GAUGAACGCUGGCGGCGUGCCUAAUACAUGCAAGUCGAGCGAACAGACGAGGAGCUUGCUCCUCUGACGUUAGCGGCGGACGGGUGAGUAACACGUGGAUAACCUACCUAUAAGACUGGGAUAACUUCGGGAAACCGGAGCUAAUACCGGAUAAUAUAUUGAACCGCAUGGUUCAAUAGUGAAAGACGGUUUUGCUGUCACUUAGAGAUGGAUCCGCGCCGCAUUAGCUAGUUGGUAAGGUAACGGCUUACCAAGGCAACGAUGCGUAGCCGACCUGAGAGGGUGAUCGGCCACACUGGAACUGAGACACGGUCCAGACUCCUACGGGAGGCAGCAGUAGGGAAUAUUCCGCAAUGGGCGAAAGCCUGACGCAGCAACGCCGCGUGAGUGAUGAAGGUCUUCGGAUCGUAAAACUCUGUUAUUAGGGAAGAACAAAUGUGUAAGUAACUAUGCACGUCUUGACGGUACCUAAUCAGAAAGCCACGGCUAACUACGUG
rnacentral:rRNA from 1 species